GUCCACGCCGUAACGGUGGGCACUAGGUGUGGGGACAUUCCACGUUCUCCGUGCCGAAGCUAACGCAUUAAGUGCCCCGCCUGGGGAGUACGGCCGCAAGGCUAAACUCAAAGGAAUUGACGGGCCCGCACAAGCGGCGGAGCAUGUUCAUUAAUUCGAUGCAACGCGAAGAACCUUACCUAGGUUUGACAUAUACCGGAAACACCUGGAGACAGGUGCCCCGCAAGGUCGGUAUACAGGUGGUGCAUGGCUGUCGU
rnacentral:rRNA from 1 species